CUCUUGUCAUGGACGCACUUUGGUGUCUUGGUUUGGCAGAAAAUUGAAUGCCCGAAAACACCGCAGAUACAUAAAUACUACUUGCUGUUCUCCAGCCUGCCCCAGAUAGCUUGCUUGGCCUUCCUUAGUUUCCAGUAUCCUCUUCUCCUUUUCAAGGGCUUGAAAGGCGCUGAAAAGAACAAUGCCUCUGAGGAUCUGAACAGCAGCUACUACAAUGACUAUGUGAAGAAGCUGCUCAAGAGGAAGAAGCACAUCAAAAUCAGGUUACUGUACCCUCUAUGUCCUAUAUGUGUUGCUCAUAUCAAAAACAAACAAACGUGUGCACACAGGAUCCGACCGUAUGAGAAUGGCUUGAUUAACGCGCAGAGUUAUCAAACAAAACAAACAAUAAGAACUCGGGACAGAUUCUAGGCAUGGUAUCAACA